GAGUUUGAUCAUGGCUCAGGAUUAACGCUAGCGGCAGGCAUAAUACAUGCAAGUUGAACGAGAUAAGCUGUAGCAAUAUGGCUUUGAAAGUGGCGCACGGGUGCGUAACACGUAUGCAACCUACCUUUUACAGGGGGAUAGCCUCUCGAAAGAGAGAUUAAUACCCCAUAAUAUAUUUGUUGGGCAUCUAAUGAAUAUUAAAGCUGAGGCGGUAAAAGAUGGGCAUGCGGCUGAUUAGGUAGUUGGUGAGGUAAUGGCUCACCAAGCCGACGAUCAGUAGGGGUCUGAGA
rnacentral:rRNA from 1 species